ACUAGGUGACUGAAGUUCAGAUGUGUGCUCAUGGGAUCCAACAACUUUGAUGUGCUAAAGAAAAUUGACAUUCCAUCUGUCUUUACUGGGGAAUCAUCAGCUAAUUCCCUGAAAGAUGAAUUCACAUAUGA